CCCUUAGAUGUUCUGGGCCGCACGCGCGCUACACUGAUGCAUUCAACGAGUCUAAAACCUGCUCUGAUAGGGGUGGGUAAUCUUUUGAAUGUGCAUCGUGAUUGGGAUAGAUGAUUGAAAUUUUUCAUCUUCAACGAGGAAUGCCUAGUAAACGUAAGUCAUCAGCUUGCAUUGAUUACGUCCCUGCCCUUUGUACACACCGCCCGUCGCUCCUACCGAUUGAAUGAUCCGAUGAAUAUCAUGGAUUGAGGAUGCAAGUAGGUUCACCUAUCUUCAUCUUCGAGAAGUGAAGUAAAUCUUAUCAUUUAGAGGAAGGAGAAGUCGUAACA
rnacentral:rRNA from 1 species